rnacentral:rRNA from 1 species
AUGUUCACGGCUUUCCAGGUUGACGAAUAUACGUUCAAGGUGUGUUCUAUUUUGGGCAUGUCGGAUUCAGAACCUGAAGACCCGGACAAAGGAAGGAACUACUUCGUGAAAGCCUCAAUAGGCCAAGGCGAAUACUACUGCCAAUGCUGCAAGUUUGAACGGGACGGCAUUGUGUGCUGUCACAUACUAAAAGUAAUGGACAUGAACGCUGUGACACGGAUGCCCCGCCAUUUCAUAAGGUGGCGAUGGACUUGGGACGCUGACGACGCGUUGGCGCCGCAGACAACAAACGCAGUUCUGGCUGUGCAUGACAAGAGACCGGAGUCAACCAUGGAAGCCGUGAGGCACGUUGUGUUGACAAAGAAUUAUGCUGAGCUAAUUGAUGAAGCAUGCAAGAGUGAUGAGACAGUGAGAGUCGCAGAAAAACAUAGGAAGGCCCUGAAAAGAGAGCUUGAUGAGAUCAAGAAGAGGAAAGCUGAGGAAGCCUUACAUAGGUUCCCCCGCACAUCAAGUGUGCCUUCGUCCACGGGACCAUCAUCUGAAAACUCGGAGAUAGGAUCUGGAACAGCAAGCACACAAACCCAGGUCACGAACCCACCCCGUUCCAUCACAAAAGGUCGUCCAAGAAAGAUAAGGUACAAAUCAGGAUUGGAGAUUCAAGCAAAACACAAGAAAACGAAGAAAGGGACGGGCAAUCCAUAA